ncrna:unclassified sequences RAGATH-18 RNA
CCUGUGGAUCGUCAUACAAGCGAAAGUAGUCUAAAGACGAAUGCGUCUUUGACAAAAUCGGACGGGAUGAAGCAGGAA